AACGAACGCUGGCGGCAUGCCUAACACAUGCAAGUCGAACGAGACCUUCGGGUCUAGUCGCGCACGGGUGCGUAACGCGUGGGAACCUGCCCUUAGGUUCGGAAUAACUCCCCGACAGGGAUGCCAACACCAGAUAAUGUCUUCGGACCAAAGAUUUAUCGCCUUUGGCUGGGCCCGCGUUUGAUUCGCUAUUUCGUAGGGUAAAAGCCUACCAAGGCGACGAUCCAUAGCUGGUCUGAGAGGAUGAUCAGCCACACUGAGACUGAGACACGGCCCAGACUCUUACGGGAGGAAGCAGUGGGGAAUGAAGGACAACGGGGGAAGGCCUGAGACAGCAAUGAAGCGAGAGAGAUGUAGGGCUUAGAGUAGUAAAGCUAGUUUAACCGGGAGGAUAAUGACAGUACCGGAAGAAUAAGCUCCGGCUAACUCCGUG
rnacentral:rRNA from 1 species